GAUGAAGAACGUAGCGAAAUGCGAUACGUAAUGUGAAUUGCAGAAUUCAGUGAAUCAUCGAGUCUUUGAACGCACAUUGCGCCCCCUGGUAUUCCGGGGGGCAUGCCUGUCCGAGCGUCACUGCUGCCCUCAAGCACGGCUUGUGUGUUGGGCCUCCGUCCUCCUCCCGGGGGACGGGCCCGAAAGGCAGCGGCGGCACCGCGUCCGGUCCUCGAGCGUAUGGGGCUUCGUCACCCGCUCUUGUAGGCCCGGCCGGCGCUUGCCGACACAUCAAUCUUUUUUCCAGGUUGACCUCGGAUCAGGUAGGGAUACCCGCUGAACUUAAGCAUAUCAAUAAGCGGAGGA
rnacentral:misc_RNA from 1 species